AAGACUAUACUUUCAGGGAUCAUUUCUAUAGUUCAUUAAGGUAAGAAACAUGAGAAGGUUGACACAUAUGACUUGGAAUUAAAGAGAAAAUGGGGUGUUGUCCAAGAUACCUCUUCUGA
rnacentral:snoRNA from 10 species